GCUCAGGACGAACGCUGGCGGCGUGCCUAAUACAUGCAAGUCGAGCGGACAGAAGGGAGCUUGCUCCCGGAUGUUAGCGGCGGACGGGUGAGUAACACGUGGGUAACCUGCCUGUAAGACUGGGAUAACUCCGGGAAACCGGAGCUAAUACCGGAUAGUUCCUUGAACCGCAUGGUUCAAGGAUGAAAGACGGUUUCGGCUGUCACUUACAGAUGGACCCGCGGCGCAUUAGCUAGUUGGUGGGGUAAUGGCUCACCAAGGCGACGAUGCGUAGCCGACCUGAGAGGGUGAUCGGCCACACUGGGACUGAGACACGGCCCAGACUCCUACGGGAGGCAGCAGUAGGGAAUCUUCCGCAAUGGACGAAAGUCUGACGGAGCAACGCCGCGUGAGUGAUGAAGGUUUUCGGAUCGUAAAGCUCUGUUGUUAGGGAAGAACAAGUGCGAGAGUAACUGCUCGCACCUUGACGGUACCUAACCAGAAAGCCACGGCUAACUACGUGCCAGCAGCCGCGGUAAUACGUAGGUGGCAAGCGUUGUCCGGAAUUAUUGGGCGUAAAGGGCUCGCAGGCGGUUUCUUAAGUCUGAUGUGAAAGCCCCCGGCUCAACCGGGGAGGGUCAUUGGAAACUGGGAAACUUGAGUGCAGAAGAGGAGAGUGGAAUUCCACGUGUAGCGGUGAAAUGCGUAGAGAUGUGGAGGAACACCAGUGGCGAAGGCGACUCUCUGGUCUGUAACUGACGCUGAGGAGCGAAAGCGUGGGGAGCGAACAGGAUUAGAUACCCUGGUAGUCCACGCCGUAAACGAUGAGUGCUAAGUGUUAGGGGGUUUCCGCCCCUUAGUGCUGCAGCUAACGCAUUAAGCACUCCGCCUGGGGAGUACGGUCGCAAGACUGAAACUCAAAGGAAUUGACGGGGGCCCGCACAAGCGGUGGAGCAUGUGGUUUAAUUCGAAGCAACGCGAAGAACCUUACCAGGUCUUGACAUCCUCUGACAACCCUAGAGAUAGGGCUUUCCCUUCGGGGACAGAGUGACAGGUGGUGCAUGGUUGUCGUCAGCUCGUGUCGUGAGAUGUUGGGUUAAGUCCCGCAACGAGCGCAACCCUUGAUCUUAGUUGCCAGCAUUCAGUUGGGCACUCUAAGGUGACUGCCGGUGACAAACCGGAGGAAGGUGGGGAUGACGUCAAAUCAUCAUGCCCCUUAUGACCUGGGCUACACACGUGCUACAAUGGACAGAACAAAGGGCUGCAAGACCGCAAGGUUUAGCCAAUCCCAUAAAUCUGUUCUCAGUUCGGAUCGCAGUCUGCAACUCGACUGCGUGAAGCUGGAAUCGCUAGUAAUCGCGGAUCAGCAUGCCGCGGGUGAAUACGUUCCCGGGCCUUGUACACACCGCCCGUCACACCACGAGAGUUUGCAACACCCGAAGUCGGUGAGGUAACCUUUAUGGAGCCAGCCGCCGAAGGUGGGGCAGAUGAUUGGGGUGAG
rnacentral:rRNA from 1 species